rnacentral:rRNA from 1 species
ACAGGCUUAACACAUGCAAGUCGAGGGGCAUCAGGAAGAAAGCUUGCUUUCUUUGCUGGCGACCGGCGCACGGGUGAGUAACACGUAUCCAACCUGCCCUUUACUCGGGGAUAGCCUUUCGAAAGAAAGAUUAAUACCCGAUGGCAUAAUGAUUCCGCAUGGUUUCAUUAUUAAAGGAUUCCGGUAAAGGAUGGGGAUGCGUUCCAUUAGGUUGUUGGUGAGGUAACGGCUCACCAAGCCUUCGAUGGAUAGGGGUUCUGAGAGGAAGGUCCCCCACAUUGGAACUGAGACACGGUCCAAACUCCUACGGGAGGCAGCAGUGAGGAAUAUUGGUCAAUGGGCGCUAGCCUGAACCAGCCAAGUAGCGUGAAGGAUGAAGGCUCUAUGGGUCGUAAACUUCUUUUAUAUAAGAAUAAAGUGCAGUAUGUAUACUGUUUUGUAUGUAUUAUAUGAAUAAGGAUCGGCUAACUCCGUGCCAGCAGCCGCGGUAAUACGGAGGAUCCGAGCGUUAUCCGGAUUUAUUGGGUUUAAAGGGAGCGUAGGUGGACUGGUAAGUCAGUUGUGAAAGUUUGCGGCCCAACCGUAAAAUUGCAGUUGAUACUGUCAGUCUUGAGUACAGUAGAGGUGGGCGGAAUUCGUGGUGUAGCGGUGAAAUGCUUAGAUAUCACGAAGAACUCCGAUUGCGAAGGCAGCUCACUGGACUGCAACUGACACUGAUGCUCGAAAGUGUGGGUAUCAAACAGGAUUAGAUACCCUGGUAGUCCACACAGUAAACGAUGAAUACUCGCUGUUUGCGAUAUACAGUAAGCGGCCAAGCGAAAGCAUUAAGUAUUCCACCUGGGGAGUACGCCGGCAACGGUGAAACUCAAAGGAAUUGACGGGGGCCCGCACAAGCGGAGGAACAUGUGGUUUAAUUCGAUGAUACGCGAGGAACCUUACCCGGGCUUAAAUUGCAGUGGAAUGAUGUGGAAACAUGUCAGUGAGCAAUCACCGCUGUGAAGGUGCUGCAUGGUUGUCGUCAGCUCGUGCCGUGAGGUGUCGGCUUAAGUGCCAUAACGAGCGCAACCCUUAUCUUUAGUUACUAACAGGUUAUGCUGAGGACUCUAGAGAGACUGCCGUCGUAAGAUGUGAGGAAGGUGGGGAUGACGUCAAAUCAGCACGGCCCUUACGUCCGGGGCUACACACGUGUUACAAUGGGGGGUACAGAAGGCAGCUAGCGGGUGACCGUAUGCUAAUCCCAAAAGCCUCUCUCAGUUCGGAUCGAAGUCUGCAACCCGACUUCGUGAAGCUGGAUUCGCUAGUAAUCGCGCAUCAGCCACGGCGCGGUGAAUACGUUCCCGGGCCUUGUACACACCGCCCGUCAAGCCAUGGGAGCCGGGGGUACCUGAAGUACGUAACCGCAAGGAUCGUCCUAGGGUAAAACUGGUGACUGGGGCU